rnacentral:tRNA from 1 species
GGAGGGGUGGCAGAGUGGUCGAAUGCGGCGGUCUUGAAAACCGUUAAGGCGUAUGCCUUCGGGGGUUCGAAUCCCUCCCCCUCCGCCA